CAUGAGCCACCAUGCCAGGCCUACAUCAAGUACUUUCUAUUCACCAUGUCAUUGAACCUUUACAGCAGUCUCACAAAGUAAGGACUAACUUUCUUUCUAUAUAAGCAAACAGAGGCCUGGUGGGUGGUGUAGGGCAGCAAUUUAUCCAAGGUCACUCAGCAAGUAGGUAGCAGAGCUGGGAUUUGAAUCUGGGUCUCUCUGAGUAUUAAGCAUACAUUUAUAUCCCAUGUAAACAUGCUUCCUAAAGACUAUCUUUCUUCAAAUCCAUAGGUUGUGGAUUCAAAAAUAGACCAUCUAUCAUUGAAUCCACAACCUGUGAACACAGUUCUUCUCAGUACAUAGAACAUGCCAAAUGAAUGCUUGAUUGAUUAAAUGAAGCAAUAUAAAAGAACGAUAGCUAGCUAGCAAGAUAAAGAUAGAGACAGAUGGAUACAUAGAGACAGAUAGAUAGAUGGAUAGAAAGAUGAUAGAUAUAGACAGGACGGAUAUGUAGGUAGGUAGGUAGGUAAAUAGAUGAUAGAUAGAUAGAUAGAUAGAUAGAUAGAUAGAUAGAUAGAUAGAUACACAGAUAGAUAGAUUAAUAGAUCGAUCUACUGAUAUGCUAGGCGAGAAAGCAAAGGAUUCUUUACAGAUGGUCUUUCUUCUAAGACCUAGCAUCUGAUCUUCAAAGCGUCUCCCAUAACAUCAUCUGAAUGCCCCUGGAACAGAAAGGUCAUGUAGGAUCAACAUCAAGGUGAGGUCUCCAUGGUUUGUUUGCCAACAACACCGGAUGUGGCUUUUCCAUCUUUCCCAGGACAGUUUGUAUUACAGAACAAGGGAACCUUAUCCAACCUCCGGGUCUAGAGCCUGAAGGACAUUAGAAUGUAGAAGCUUCAUUCCAUGAUGACAAGUAAUCCAGGUAGGGAGGCGUAUGCACAAGGCUAGAAAAUGAGACAAACUCGGCCAGGCGCGGUGGCUCACUAAAUGGUACUUCUAAAAGGCAAGAGAUUGGAUCAGAUCCUGGGCUGAUUUUGAAGGGGAUGUUGUUGCUGUUCACUCAGCUAAUCAAUACUGCAUUCACCAGGAGAAAGAGUCCAGCAGUGAGACAUGCUGGAGUGCAAGGAAAGGAAACUGGAUUUCAGAUGCAGGAAGCUUUUUCUUUCAUUCACUCCUUCCUUCAUGGAUACAUUUCUCAAACAUCCACUAGGUACCAGGCAUCACACAUUCCACUGAAUGAGGAAGGGGGUGGGGCAGAGAGUAUAAAGAGAGCAGGGCAUACAGAAAAACAAGAAAGAUAUAGAGAAGGGAGAAAAGGAAAUGAGAAAGAGAGAGAGAGAAAAACGAGUAGAGGGAAAGGGAAAAAAAGCAGCAAGGGAAACACACAGAAAUAUAGAAAUAGAGAAGGAAGAGGAUAAGAGAGUCAGGAAAUGAAAAGGAUACAAGGAAACACUAAAGCGUGAGCUGUGAGCUUCAGGGUGCAUACUUACCUUUCAUUGCUUCCUUAUGCAAUGAUGAUGGGCCAUGGUUUACUGCUCUUAAACCACUCUGAAUCCUUAAGCCUUCAGAAACUGCGGUCUACCUGGUUCUGAAGGGGGGAAAUACAUCUCUGACUUGCCACGCAGCAUCCAGAACAUCAUGGCCCAGUGAGGUGGGUGAAAUUAAACUUGGACAUUGGACCUCGCCAUAAGCAGAACAUUCCCCACCAUGGGGAUUCAAGAAAAGAAUUCUAGCAGUCUGAGGAAAUCAGAUUUAUGGUCAAAGAACAAUGUGAGGUGGUGUGGAAUCAUAGACUACUGGAGCUAGAAGAAACAAAACAACGGUGCUAAUAGUGAUGAUGUCAUAUGAAGACAACGGCAAUGGUAAUGAUGACAAUAGGAGAUGAGGAUGAUGCUAUUGCAUGAUGCUGAGGUAGCAGCUUCAGGCAGAUGACCCUUUAUUGGUUUCAUGUGUCCCAAGCACUAUUGCUGUUUGCUUUACCAGCACCAUUUCUGAAUCCUCUCUACAACCCUGUGAUGGUUAAUAUUGAGUGUCAAAAUUUGAUUGGAUUGAAGGAUGCAAAGUAUUCUUCCUGGGUGUGUCUUUAUGUCCCUCUGGAGAACCCUGACUAAUACAAAUCCUAAAAGAGGUAUUACUGUUAACUCACUU
rnacentral:lncRNA from 10 species